UUUUAUAUAGUAUAAAAAAAUACUUUUUAUUUCCAAUAAAAAAAUUUAAAUAAAUUUAAUAUAAAAA
rnacentral:tRNA from 1 species